CGCCUUGCCAGCCCGCUCAGAACUUAAAGGAAUUGACGGGGGCCCGCACAAGCGGAGGAGCAUGUGGUUUAAUUCGAUGAUACGCGAGGAACCUUACCUGGGCUCGAACGUAAGAUGACUGUAGGUGAAAGCUUACAUCUCUUCGGAGCAUUUUACGAGGUGCUGCAUGGUUGUCGCCAGCUCGUGCCGUGAGGUGUCGGGUUAAGUCCCAUAACGAGCGCAACCCCUACCUUUAGUUGCCAUCAGGUCAAGCUGGGGACUCUAAUGAAACUGCCUACGCAAGUAGUGAGGAAGGUGGGGAUGACGUCAAAUCAGCACGGCCCUUACGUCCAGGGCUACACACGUGCUACAAUGGCCGGUACAAAGGGCAGCUACCUGGUGACAGGAUGCAAAUCUCCAAAGUCGGUCUCAGUUCGGAUCGGAGUCUGCAACCCGACUCCGUGAAGUUGGAUUCGCUAGUAAUCGCGCAUCAGCCAUGGCGCGGUGAAUACGUUCCCGGGCCUU
rnacentral:rRNA from 1 species